UCGAGAAUAUUCGACAAUGGGCGAAAGCCUGAUCGAGCGACGCCGCGUGCAGGAUGAAGGCCCUCGGGUUGUAAACUGCUUUUCUUCAGGAUGAAGUAUGGUCCGCAAGGGUCAUAUUGACGGUACUGAGGGAAUAAGUGGCUGCAAACUUCGUGCCAGCAGCCGCGGUAAUACGAAGGCCACAAGCGUUAUCCGGAUUUAUUGGGCGUAAAGGGUGCGUAGGAGGACCGAUGCGUCUCUUGUUAAAUUUCACCGCUCAACGGUGAAGCCGCAAGGGAUACGAUCGGACUAGAGGGCGUUAGAGGCAGAUGGAACACACGGUGUAGGGGUGAAAUCCGUUGAUAUCGUGUGGAACACCAAAGGCGAAGGCAUUCUGCUGGGACGUUCCUGACUCUGAGGCACGAAAGCGUGGGGAGCAAAAAGG
rnacentral:rRNA from 1 species